GAAAAGUUUUUUUUUUUUUUUUUAAAUAAUGAAUCAUCAAAUGCACAAGAUUUAAUCUUGAAUAAACAUCAAUUGUGAGGAGUAAACAUUGGAAAACAAAAUCAAUAUGUCCAAAAAAAAAUCACGAAAAAGAUCAAGCAGCCAUGAAAACAAACAUACAUAGAUUGCCGGAGAGAAAUUCAAGCAAAAUCAACCCGAAAAUAAUAAAAUAAUGUAAAAAUUAUCCAAAAUAACAAUAGCGAUACUUCAAAUUUAUUUCCACAAAACACACAAAAUAAUGGUAAAGCGAAAAGAAGAAGAAUUCACCGGGGUUUAAGUUUUUCCGGUAACUUGGUCAUGGUUUCCGGCAAAAUCUGAAAAUAAACAGAAAAAAAUAAUCGCAGUCAAAAGGGAAUAGAUCACGCUUCAAAGGAUUUCACCGGAGCAACACCGAAGAGGUAUUUUCGGCCAGAUCUACCCGUUUUUCGGCGAGCAGUGACGGUAGUAGCAGUGUUGCGUUGAACCUCGAAUCUCGCCGGUCACAACCUCCAGCGAGGCAGCGGCGGGAGAUGACAGAAAGAGAGGAAGCUGGGGCGGCAGAUGGUUUUUGUUGGUGGCUGAAACUCGUCGGCCAUCAACUCCGGCAAGCCACGAAGAAAGUAAAUUAAUGGGGAAUUUGCAACCGGCGGUGAGAAAAAGGGAAAGGAGGUGGCGCUGGUUGGUGGCUGGAAAGAGAGGAGAGCAGAUGAGAGGGAGAGAGAGAAGCAGAUUUUAUGCGCGUAUUUGUGCGAACUCGAAAAUAAGUCACAAAAUUAAAAAAAAUUAUUAAAAUAGGUCAUUUAUUUAAAAAAUUAUCAAAAUAUACAAAUAUAAUAAAUUAUUAUUUUAUUUUUUUAAUAGUCAACAUAAUUUAUAAAAUAUAAUAAUUUAUUAUAUCAAAUGAUAUAGUUUAUAAUAAUUUAUUACAUUUUAUAAACAAUGUUUGUAAAACAUAAUAAUUUAUUACAAACUACAAACAAUGUUUGUAAGUUAUAAUAAAUUAUUACAACUUACAUCUUUAUAUCUACCCACAUCACAUCAUUUUUACUUUUUCCAUUUUUAAAUUUAACCCAACCCAACCCACCCCACAUAGAAUCCUCCCACCCCACCCUACAUAAAAUCCUUCCACCCCACCUAUUAAUAAUUUUACAAAUUAGAACCUUAUUAUUACAAUUCAAAAAUUGUAACUAUUUAUUACAUUUUUAAUUCAAAAAAAAAAUUAAAAAAUUAUUGUUUCAUUUUGUUAAUUCAAGUACUACUUAACCCACUUUUUUGACUUUUUCUCAUAAAUAGUACUAAAAAAUUACUUUUUAUAAAUAAAUUUUAAAAAAAAAAAACAUAAAGAUUUCAUCAUUGCCCAAAGUUAUUUAUUGUAUUACACAUUUGUAUACAUAAUAUCCGUCUUUUUAUUUGCGGAGCCCUCGAAAAUCAACGAAAAAUUUCUUCAUCAGCCAAUUAAAUUAAUACUGAAUAUAGAUCAAAUACGAGUAAUUAAAUAAAAAAAAUAAAAGAUAAAAAUAAAAUAUGUCUUAUGUCUUUUGUCCUGGGGAGAUAUCAAAGAUUAACCGAGAAGUUUUACCAUUAUUCAAUUAAUUUAUUAAUAUCCUAGAAUAAAAUAAAAUCGAAACAUUCAAUUGAAAUUGUCUAACUUGGACCCAAAUUAAAAAAUGCAAUUUCUAAAAAAUAAACAAAUUGUAACAGUGAAUCAAAACCAGUAUAAAACAAAGCAACAAUGAACAAAGAUUACUAAAUAAUCAUAUGGAGUCACUGAAAAGUUUUUUUUUUUUUUUUUAAAUAAUGAAUCAUCAAAUGCACAAGAUUUAAUCUUGAAUAAACAUCAAUUGUGAGGAGUAAACAUUGGAAAACAAAAUCAAUAUGUCCAAAAAAAAAUCACGAAAAAGAUCAAGCAGCCAUGAAAACAAACAUACAUAGAUUGCCGGAGAGAAAUUCAAGCAAAAUCAACCCGAAAAUAAUAAAAUAAUGUAAAAAUUAUCCAAAAUAACAAUAGCGAUACUUCAAAUUUAUUUCCACAAAACACACAAAAUAAUGGUAAAGCGAAAAGAAGAAGAAUUCACCGGGGUUUAAGUUUUUCCGGUAACUUGGUCAUGGUUUCCGGCAAAAUCUGAAAAUAAACAGAAAAAAAUAAUCGCAGUCAAAAGGGAAUAGAUCACGCUUCAAAGGAUUUCACCGGAGCAACACCGAAGAGGUAUUUUCGGCCAGAUCUACCCGUUUUUCGGCGAGCAGUGACGGUAGUAGCAGUGUUGCGUUGAACCUCGAAUCUCGCCGGUCACAACCUCCAGCGAGGCAGCGGCGGGAGAUGACAGAAAGAGAGGAAGCUGGGGCGGCAGAUGGUUUUUGUUGGUGGCUGAAACUCGUCGGCCAUCAACUCCGGCAAGCCACGAAGAAAGUAAAUUAAUGGGGAAUUUGCAACCGGCGGUGAGAAAAAGGGAAAGGAGGUGGCGCUGGUUGGUGGCUGGAAAGAGAGGAGAGCAGAUGAGAGGGAGAGAGAGAAGCAGAUUUUAUGCGCGUAUUUGUGCGAACUCGAAAAUAAGUCACAAAAUUAAAAAAA
rnacentral:lncRNA from 1 species